rnacentral:rRNA from 1 species
UGCUCCAGUUGAUCGCAUGGUCUUCUGGGAAAGCUUUCGCGGUAUGGGAUGGGGUCGCGUCCUAUCAGCUUGACGGCGGGGUAACGGCCCACCGUGGCUUCGACGGGUAGCCGGCCUGAGAGGGUGACCGGCCACAUUGGGACUGAGAUACGGCCCAGACUCCUACGGGAGGCAGCAGUGGGGAAUAUUGCACAAUGGGCGCAAGCCUGAUGCAGCGACGCCGCGUGCGGGAUGGAGGCCUUCGGGUUGUAAACCGCUUUUGUUCAAGGGCAAGGCACGGCUUCGGGCCGUGUUGAGUGGAUUGUUCGAAUAAGCACCGGCUAACUACGUGCCAGCAGCCGCGGUAAUACGUAGGGUGCGAGCGUUAUCCGGAUUUAUUGGGCGUAAAGGGCUCGUAGGCGGUUCGUCGCGUCCGGUGUGAAAGUCCAUCGCUUAACGGUGGAUCCGCGCCGGGUACGGGCGGGCUGGAGUGCGGUAGGGGAGACUGGAAUUCCCGGUGUAACGGUGGAAUGUGUAGAUAUCGGGAAGAACACCAAUGGCGAAGGCAGGUCUCUGGGCCGUCACUGACGCUGAGGAGCGAAAGCGUGGGGAGCGAACAGGAUUAGAUACCCUGGUAGUCCACGCCGUAAACGGUGGAUGCUGGAUGUGGGGCCCUUUCCACGGGUCCUGUGUCGGAGCCAACGCAUUAAGUUCCCCGCCUGGGGAGUACGGCCGCAAGGCUAAAACUCAAAGGAAUUGACGGGGGCCCGCACAAGCGGCGGAGCAUGCGGAUUAAUUCGAUGCAACGCGAAGAACCUUACCAAGGCUUGACAUAUACGAGAACACUGUAGAGAUACAGGACUCUUUGGACACUCGUAAACAGGUGGUGCAUGGUUGUCGUCAGCUCGUGUCGUGAGAUGUUCGGUUAAGUCCGGCAACGAGCGCAACCCUCGUCCUAUGUUGCCAGCACGUAAUGGUGGGAACUCAUGGGAUACUGCCGUGGUCAACACGGAGGAAGGUGGGGAUGACGUCAGAUCAUCAUGCCCCUUACGUCCAGGGCUUCACGCAUGCUACAAUGGCCGGUACAACGCGAUGCGACACGGUGACGUGGGGCGGAUCGCUGAAAACCGGUCUCAGUUCGGAUCGCAGUCUGCAACUCGACUGCGUGAAGGCGGAGUCGCUAGUAAUCGCGGAUCAGCAACGC